rnacentral:rRNA from 14 species
CCAGACUCCUACGGGAGGCAGCAGUGGGGAAUAUUGCACAAUGGGCGAAAGCCUGAUGCAGCCAUGCCGCGUGUGUGAAGAAGGCUCUAGGGUUGUAAAGCACUUUCAGUCGGGAGGAAAGGGUAGUAGUUAAUACCUGCUAUCUGUGACGUUACCGACAGAAGAAGCACCGGCUAACUCCGUGCCAGCAGCCGCGGUAAUACGGAGGGUGCGAGCGUUAAUCGGAAUUACUGGGCGUAAAGCGUACGCAGGCGGUUUGUUAAGCGAGAUGUGAAAGCCCCGGGCUCAACCUGGGAACUGCAUUUCGAACUGGCAAACUAGAGUGUGAUAGAGGGUGGUAGAAUUUCAGGUGUAGCGGUGAAAUGCGUAGAGAUCUGAAGGAAUACCGAUGGCGAAGGCAGCCACCUGGGUCAACACUGACGCUCAUGUACGAAAGCGUGGGGAGCAAACGGGAUUAGAUACCCCGGUAGUCCACGCCGUAAACGAUGUCUACUAGAAGCUCGGAACCUCGGUUCUGUUUUUCAAAGCUAACGCAUUAAGUAGACCGCCUGGGGAGUACGGCCGCAAGGUUAAAACUCAAAUGAAUUGACGGGGGCCCGCACAAGCGGUGGAGCAUGUGGUUUAAUUCGAAGCAACGCGAAGAACCUUACCUACUCUUGACAUCCAGAGAAUUUAGCAGAGAUGCUUUAGUGCCUUCGGGAACUCUGAGACAGGUGCUGCAUGGCUGUCGUCAGCUCGUGUUGUGAAAUGUUGGGUUAAGUCCCGUAACGAGCGCAACCCUUGUCCUUAGUUACUAACAUUAAGUUGAGAACUCUAAGGAGACUGCCGGUGACAAACCGGAGGAAGGCG